GUGCCUAAUACAUGCAGUCGAGCGAACGGACGAGAAGCUUGCUUCUCUGAUGUUAGCGGCGGACGGGUGAGUAACACGUGGAUAACCUACCUAUAAGACUGGGAUAACUUCGGGAAACCGGAGCUAAUACCGGAUAAUAUUUUGAACCGCAUGGUUCAAAAGUGAAAGACGGUCUUGCUGUCACUUAUAGAUGGAUCCGCGCUGCAUUAGCUAGUUGGUAAGGUAACGGCUUACCAAGGCAACGAUGCAUAGCCGACCUGAGAGGGUGAUCGGCCACACUGGAACUGAGACACGGUCCAGACUCCUACGGGAGGCAGCAGUAGGGAAUCUUCCGCAAUGGGCGAA
rnacentral:rRNA from 1 species